ACUUGUUUGUUUAGCCGCUGACCUCACGUCCCAGCAGCCGCCGGUUUCGACCGGAGGUAGCCAGUUCGGCACCCUCUGGUUUCUCGUCGCGGUUACGGUCGCCUUACAGGCACGCGUACGCUGAGGGCCUGGGUUAGCGGAAUAGUCUCUCGUGGUCACUACCGCCAUCUGCGGGGCCCCUUCCCAACGCGCGUGCGCUCUGGGUGCUGCGUACGGGGAGCCUCAGGAGGGUCAGUUUCCCGCUGGAAUCCUCCAGUCACUCCCCAGCUACUGUCCAGUCAUAGCGUCUAGGAAGGGAGAGGAGGACGCCUGAAUGAGAGGCCGGGGGUCGUGGCGGUAGGAGCCAGACCCCUAGCCAGGAGCGGUGUGACCCAUCUUGGGGAUGCAUGUGACCCAGGGGUGCCAGAAAUUGGCCUUUUGAAAAUUUUUAUUGAAGCGGCUGUUCUGGCCCAGGUACUCACUCCUCACUGAGAAACCCUCUAUAAAACCCAAGGCUCUCCCCUUUUCCUUGGUGGAUGCUUUUUUGCCUGCACCAGUGUGCACCCAGAUGCUCAAAAUAAACAGCAUUUUGCUACA